rnacentral:rRNA from 1 species
UACGUAGGGUGCGAGCGUUGUCCGGAUUUAUUGGGCGUAAAGAGCUCGUAGGCGGUUUGUCGCGUCGGCCGUGAAAUCUCCACGCUUAACGUGGAGCGUGCGGUCGAUACGGGCAGACCUGAGUUCGGUAGGGGAGACUGGAAUUCCUGGUGUAGCGGUGAAAUGCGCAGAUAUCAGGAGGAACACCGGUGGCGAAGGCGGGUCUCUGGGCAGUAACUGACGCUGAGGAGCGAAAGCGUGGGGAGCGAACAGG